rnacentral:rRNA from 1 species
UACGAAGGGGGCUAGCGUUGUUCGGAAUUACUGGGCGUAAAGCGCGCGCAGGUGGUCUUUCAAGUCAGUGGUGAAAGCCCGGAGCUCAACUCCGGAAAUGCCAUUGAAACUGUGAGACUUGAGGACGAGAGAGGUGAGUGGAAUUCCCAGUGUAGAGGUGAAAUGCGCAGAUAUCGGGAAGAACACCUAUGGCGAAGGCAGCUCUCUGGGACGGUACUGACGCUGAGACGCGAAAGCGUGGGGAGCGAACAGG